rnacentral:rRNA from 1 species
UACGGAGGAUGCAAGCGUUAUCCGGAUUUAUUGGGUUUAAAGGGUGCGCAGGUUGUUUGAUAAGUCAGUGGUGAAAGUCUGUCGCUUAACGGUAGGAUUGCCAUUGAUACUGUUGGACUUGAAUAUGGAUGAGGUAGGCGGAAUGUGUAGUGUAGCGGUGAAAUGCAUAGAUAUUACACAGAACACCGAUUGCGAAGGCAGCUUACUAAUCCAUCAUUGACGCUGAGGCACGAAAGCGUGGGGAUCAGA